rnacentral:lncRNA from 1 species
CAUCAGUGUAAACCAGGCUUUUCUUUCCAAGUUACCAAGACAAUAGAAGCAUCCCUCCCUUCUGCACCCCGGGACUUGGAGGCGGGCCCUCCCUUCUGCUCCCCGGGGCGCCGGGACGUUGCGGGCAGCCCCUCCCUUCUGCUCCCCGGGGCGCUGGGACGUUGCGGGCGGGCCCUCCCUUCUGCUCCCCGGGGCGCCGGGACGUCGCGGGCGGGCCCUCCCUUCUGCUCCCCGGGACGUCGCGGGCGGGCCCUCCCUUCUGCUCCCCGGGGCACCCUCUGCCCCGACCCUUUCCCUCAGCCACUUCCGGGAUCUCUGCCCCCUCUGGCUACAUGCAGGACGCGCAGGUACGUAGGACGGGCGCAGAGGCAGAUACGCGUGUGCACAUACGGGGGCUGUAGGUACACGUGGGCACUGCGCCGCAGACCCACAAGGAAGCCUGGGCCUGCUCCAAAAAGCAGGAAGCAGCCUGGAGACCUCGCCCCCACCCCCUCUCCCACCCGCUCUCCUGAGCACAAUUUACCCGUCUUAGCAUCAGCCUCCCCAGGGUCGGCCUGGCCCAGAACUGGCUCCUUUCACGAGAGCUUUGGAUCCCAAGGAAAAAACCAACCUGGCCACGUGCAGGGAAAUAAAGGGCCUUUGUCUGUGCCAGGCCCCGCAGCAGCUGCAGCCUCUCUCCCAGGAUGACGGCCCAGAGAGAGGCACAGCAGGCGCCAGCUCUGGGCGGCCCCACCCCCCCCUCCCCCCCCACCGAGCUGCUCUCCACCCCCCACAGGCCUCGGCUCCCCUUCCUCAUCCCGACUGCUCGCUCCGGGGGGGAGAGAGGGAGCGCUGGCCGGGAGAGGGACCGAUCCCCCCAUCCGACCGAUCCCACAAACCCUGACCGGUAACGGAGCGCGGACCUCCGCGCCCAGCUCACAGCCAGAACCCCAAAGCCCGACCUCGCUGUGGACCAGGCCCUGACCCUCCCACAGCCUCAGAUGGAGCCCAGGCCAAAUGCUCUUCUCGCUAAGCUCGGCCUGAAUAGGAACACAUGGGCUCAGACACGAUCGGUUUAUCUUCUGUUUGUGAUUCCCGGCCCAUCCUUCCCGGCAGCCUCCCUUUCAGCACUGACCAGCCCGUUCCCCGGGGCGGCCCCCCCCCCCCGCCCCCCGGGCGCCCCCCCCCCCCCCCCCCGCGCUUCAUCUCUCCUCUCCCAGAGUGCGAGCGAGGAGCAAUGGCGA